rnacentral:rRNA from 1 species
UACGGAGGGAGCUAGCGUUGUUCGGAAUUACUGGGCGUAAAGAGCUCGUAGGCGGUUUGUCGCGUCUGCCGUGAAAGUCCGGGGCUCAACUCCGGAUCUGCGGUGGGUACGGGCAGACUAGAGUGAUGUAGGGGAGACUGGAAUUCCUGGUGUAGCGGUGAAAUGCGCAGAUAUCAGGAGGAACGCCGAUGGCGAAGGCAGGUCUCUGGGCAUUAACCGACGCUGAGGAGCGAAAGCAUGGGGAGCGAACGGG